rnacentral:rRNA from 1 species
UACGUAGGCAGCGAGCGUUGUUCGGAAUUACUGGGCGUAAAGAGUGUGUAGGCGGUGUUCCCAGUCUGUUGUGAAAUCUCCCGGCUUAACUGGGAGGGUGCAGCGGAAACUAGAAUGCUAGAGGGUGGGAGAGGUAAGCGGAAUUCCUGGUGUAGCGGUGAAAUGCGCAGAUAUCAGGAGGAACACCGGUGGCGAAGGCGGAUCUCUGGGCCGUAACUGACGCUGAGGAGCGAAAGCAUGGGGAGCGAACAGG